AAGUCGUAACAAGGUAACCGUAGGUGAACCUGCGGUUGGAUCAUUAGUGGUUUUUUGGCAGCGCUGUUGUAGUGUAUGGUGGUGGUGUUGGGUUUUGGUUUGGGUUUGGUGUUUGUUGGUUGUGUGUUGCCUGGCCUUGGUCUUGGCACAGCAACGGACGACGGCACACUCGGACCAGACCCAACAGACCUCGCCAGAUAGACGUCUUUGCUUGCUUUGAUGAAACCAAAUCAAAAACAACUUUUGACAACGGAUCUCUUGGCUCUC
rnacentral:misc_RNA from 1 species